rnacentral:rRNA from 1 species
CCUACGGGAGGCAGCAGUGGGGAAUAUUGCACAAUGGGGGAAACCCUGAUGCAGCGACGCCGCGUGAGUGAAGAAGUAAUUCGUUACGUAAAGCUCUAUCAGCAGGGAAGAAAUACUGACCUUACGGUCAGCAGACGGUACCUGAGUAAGAAGCCCCGGCUAACUACGUCCCAGCAGCCGCGGGAAUACGUGGGGGGCAAGCGUUAUCCGGAUUUACUGGGUGUAAAGGGAGCGUAGGCGGGGCGCGAAGUCUGGAGGGAAAUGCCGCAGCUUAACUGCGGAAGUGAUUUGGAAACUGACGAACUAGAGUGCGGGAGAGGUAAGCGGAAUUCCUGGUGUAGCGGUGAAAUGCGUAGAUAUUAGGAAGAACACCGGUGGCGAAGGCGGCUUACUGGACCGUAACUGACGUUGAGGCUCGAAAGCGUGGGGAGCGAACAGGAUUAGAUACCCUUGUAGUC